AGCUUUGCGCAGUGGCAGUAUCGUAGCCAAUGACGUUUAUCCGAGGUGCGAUUAUUGCUAUAAUCUGGCCCUAGUCUACCUGUUUAUAAUCUUUUUUUCAACUUUCAUUCAUUCAUUGAUUCAUAUAUUUAUCCAGUAAAUAUGUGUUGAGUGCCUACUC
rnacentral:snRNA from 1 species